rnacentral:tRNA from 1 species
GGGGUCAUAGCUCAGGGCUAGAGCACUUGACUGCAGAUCACGAGGUCCCUGGUUCAAACCUAGGUGCCCCCU